rnacentral:rRNA from 1 species
CCUACGGGUGGCAGCAGUGGGGAAUAUUGCACAAUGGGCGCAAGCCUGAUGCAGCCAUGCCGCGUGUAUGAAGAAGGCCUUCGGGUUGUAAAGUACCUUCAGCGGGGAGGAAGGGAGUAAGGUUAAUAACCUUAUUCAUUGACGUUACCCGCAGAAGAAGCACCGGCUAACUCCGUGCCAGCAGCCGCGGUAAUACGGAGGGUGCAAGCGUUAAUCGGAAUUACUGGGCGUAAAGCGCACGCAGGCGGUCUGUCAAGUCGGAUGUGAAAUCCCCGGGCUCAACCUGGGAACUGCAUUCGAAACUGGCAGGCUGGAGUCUUGUAGAGGGGGGCAGAAUUCCAGGUGUAGCGGUGAAAUGCGUAGAGAUCUGGAGGAAUACCGGUGGCGAAGGCGGCCCCCGGGACAAAGACUGACGCUCAGGUGCGAAAGCGUGGGGAGCAAACAGGAUUAGAUACCCCAGUAUC